CCAAGAAUUAAAUGCUUUUUCUCUGCUACCUUUUAUUGCAGAAACUCUUCACUUCUUCAGUCCGGAGGUUUUGGCUGGAGUUUUUCCAGUGCGUGACGAACCAUUUCUGGGAUUCCCCCCAUCAGGUAAAAGCUUUCUCUUCUCUUUAGGGCCUCCGUUGAAUAGCAUGAGCGUAGAUAUUUUUUGCUUUAGGGACAAAAAUAAACUCAAUCUCCUAGAAUCAUUUUUUUUGGUUUUGAAUAUCACUGAUGAUUGCUCCAAUGACCGAUUUAUCAGUGUUAGACCUUUGACAUUUCUUGAUGACAGUUUUCGAGUCUCCCACAACUCCUAUUUUGUUGACUCCCAUACUAAUCCCUAGUUUUACUGCCUGUAAUCCUGCAUAUGCCUCUUCCGUGAAUGGAUUUGCUAUCUCGGAGUGAAUAACUGCUUGUGUUGCAAGGAUUUCCUCUUCCUCGUUCCAUACAAUUGGACUCGAAGCCGAUCUAAACGAUUGACGGUCGAAGGCUGCGUCAAAAUGAACUGUGGCCCUUCCCCUUUUGAAUACCUGUUGAAUAUUGCCAGUAGAAUGAAUAAGUUGGUUUCUGCUGAACCAGAUAAACCAGAGUCUACAGAAGAAGAGUCAGAGUUGCUCAUUAGUCCCUUGAGCAAAGACCCAAGACACUGUUGAAAAAUAUGGCAGCUAUUUUCUUCUUCACGGCAGCAUCUGGGACAUUGAGCAUCCACCACGACUCGCUUUAGUUUGAGAUUGACAAAGGAUGGGAUGAAAUUCCAUGAUAUCCUCCAUACUGUCAUUUGAAUCUUUGAAGGGAUAUGUAAUUUCCAUAGUUUUCUAUAGAAAUUUUUAAUUUCGUUAUGGAAAAUUAAAUCAUUAGAAUCCAAACUAGGCUCGUGUAAUAGUUUAUAGGCACUACUAACGGAGAACUCCCCUGUCGGCUCCCCUCUCCAUACUUGAAAAUCUUCGUGUGCUAUCUCCGCUAGUGGGAUCUGUAAUAUUUUCUCCGCUACAUCCGAUCAGAAGGUACCUCUUACUAACUCUGUUUUCCAGCU